CGACAUCAUGUUGACACACCAGUUCUCAUCUGACCACCAAAGUUAAGCAAUAUUGAUCCUGGUCAGUAGUUAGAUGGGUGACCACUGCUUGGGAAGUCAGA